rnacentral:lncRNA from 1 species
AAAUCAGCUAAUUAUUUUCCUUAAGCUGAAUUUCCUCUUCAACUCAUCCUUUAUUGCCCUCUUGCACUCUUUCAUUCAUUUUUCUCUGAGAUUGCAGCUUCCUGGCUAUAUUCUAGUUGUGCUCCUGUUUGCGUGCAAAAAAUGUGCACAUAUUUUAGAGGGCCACCCUGUUUUCCCUUCAACUAUUCUCAGAUUCAACUAUUCUCUUCUUGAACUUCUUUUUAAUGGCUGCAGUUGCUGAAUAUAUGACAUUUCUCCUUGGCUCUCA